AAAGCGUGCGCAGGCGGUUUUGUAAGUCUGUCGUGAAAUCCCCGGGCUCAACCUGGGAAUUGCGAUGGAGACUGCAAGGCUAGAAUCUGGCAGAGGGGGGUAGAAUUCCACGUGUAGCAGUGAAAUGCGUAGAGAUGUGGAGGAACACCGAUGGCGAAGGCAGCCCCCUGGGUCAAGAUUGACGCUCAUGCACGAAAGCGUGGGGAGCAAACAGGAUUAGAUACCCCGGU
rnacentral:rRNA from 1 species